rnacentral:rRNA from 1 species
AUGCCCCGCCGCCUCGGGACGACCUACUCCGGCCGGAUCGCAGCCGCGACGCCGUCCCCCUCCGGCCCCUCCAUCACCGUCACCGUAUCCCCGACCCCUCCCCCGACGCCGCUCGACCCCCGCGGUUACCCGCUCCCCCGCCGCCACCUCAUCUGCGCCGCCGCCGGCAUCCUCCGUUUUCCCGCCUCUCCCACCCCGCUGGUCGACCUCGCAGACUACCUCCGCGACCGCCGCCUCACGCUCACCACCUCCGAGGCCUCUGAGAUAGUCAAGGCCCUCUCCCCCGACCCCGCCCUUGCUCUCGCCUUUUUCCGCUUCGCCCCCGCUUCCCUCCCGGGCUUCCGUCACAACGCCUUCUCAUACAACCGCAUCCUGGCUCUCCUCUUCCGCACCAGGGCGGACCCAAGCGAGGCUCUGCGUAUCGUCUCGGAGAUGGAGCGGGACGGCGUGGCCGGCAACAUCUCCACGGUGAAUUUGCUGGUUGGAAUGGGCGGAGGAGGCGUGGAGGUGACCAAGUGCCUGGAGCUGGCCAUGAAGUGGGGGUUGAGGCUUAAUGGCUACACCUACAAGUGCAUUCUGCAGGCUCAUUUGAGGAGCAGGGAGGUGUCCAAGGGGUUCGAAGUCUAUGAGGAAAUGCGCAGAAAGGGGUACAGGCUGGAUAUAUUUGCGUAUAACAUGCUGCUUGAUGCCCUUGCCAAGUCUGGAAUGCAGGUUGACCAAGCUUACCAAGUCUUUGAAGAUAUGAAACAAAAGUACUGUGAGCCGGAUGCGUACACAUAUACUAUACUAAUUAGAAUGUCUGGGAGGGCCGGGAAGACUUCUAAGUUUCUCUCAUUUUUUGAUGAAAUGGUAUCAAAAGGAUGUGCUCUUAACCUUAUUGCUUAUAAUACUCUUAUUGAGGCUCUUGGUAAGAACAAGAUGGUGGACAAGGUAAUCUUUGUACUUUCCAAAAUGAUCGAGGGCGACUGCCAGCCCAAUCAAUUCACAUAUAGCAUUACAUUGGAUAUUUUGGCAACAGAAGGACAACUGCACAGACUAAAUGAGGUUCUGAAUAUCUGUGAUAGAUAUAUGAACAAAUCAAUUUAUUCUUAUUUGGUCAAGUCACUUAGCAAAUCUGGGCAUGUAAGUGAGGCACAUAAUGUAUUCUGUCAGAUGUGGAACUCCUAUGAAACCGGAGACAUGGAUGCUUUCGUAUCAAUGCUUGAGGUGUUAUGCAAUUCAGGAAAAACAUUAGAGGCUAUUGAUCUCCUACAUAUGAUGCCUGCAAAAGGGGUUGCUACUGAUAUUAGCAUGUACAAUAUGGUCUUUUCAGCCCUUGGGAAGCUCAAACAGGUCUCUUUCAUAACUAGUCUCUUUGACAAGAUGAAAGCUAACGGGAUUGCUCCGGAUCUUUUUACCUACAACAUUGUGAUAUCAAGCUAUGGUAGAGUUGGCUUAGUUGGUAAAGCAUCUGGAUUAUUUGAAGAAAUGAAUGCUAGCAGUUGUAAACCUGAUGUCAUCACUUACAAUUCUUUGAUAAACUGUCUUGGGAAAAACGGAGAUCUUGAUGAAGCCCACAUGCUUUUCAAAGAGAUGCAGGAGAAGGGAUAUGAUCCUGAUGUAUUCACUUACAGCAUACUGAUUGAAUGCUUUGGGAAAUCUAAUAAGGUUGAUAUGGCAUGCAGCUUAUUUGCUGACAUGAUUGCAGAGGGAUGCAUCCCUAAUGUUGUAACUUAUAACAUCUUACUUGAUUGUUUGGAGAGGCACGGGAAGACAGCAGAAGCUCAUAAACAUUAUGAGACUAUGAAGCAGCAAGGGUUAACUCCUGACUCGAUAACUUACUCAAUACUUGAGCGGUUGGAAAGUAGAUCUCAGCGAACAGUACGAAUACGAAAGCCAGCUCGGGCUACAAGUUGGGUUGUCAGUCCUCUAAGAUGA